CGUGCACCAGUGGGGUCCCUCGGCCUGGUCUGUGCCCUCUCACAAUCUGGGACCCCUCGGGGGAUGUCAGAGAGCUGGUUUCAGCCUGGUACCACAGGCCAGGCCGAGGGACCCCACUGGUGCACG
rnacentral:pre_miRNA from 1 species